GUUUGGAAAGUAUUCACCGCACAAGUUCCGGGACUGCCGCGGGAUCUGCGAUGGAAAUACCCGAAAUGCUUGUGGCAAGAAGCCGGGAAUAAUUACUGUGGAUACUACGUCUGCGAGUUCAUCUACAACGCGGCGGCCAAGAAUAGGCGGGGCUACUCUGAAAGACAAUAUGAAGUGCGUAAG